UCUUUUUCUCCCUCCUAAGAACACUCAAGUGAAAAGGAAUAAUGAAACAAAGACAAGAACAACAUAUGAAAUGUGAAAAAAAAUCUAGUUUAGCCAGUUGUCUCAGCACUCUUCACAUCAGACUCACAUAAGGUGCUGGCAUUUUAGGAGCUGUGCUUGACAUGCCUUGCUUACAUUAGAAUUUCAUUCUCUAACAGUGUUCAUUGCUGAUGUUCAUGACUGAAACUUACAUUUGAUUAUGACUAUGGCUUCCUUUGUCAAUUAGUGAAGGGUUUUAUUCACUAAUUAGCCUUAGAGUUCCUGUUUACAUCAUAAUAGGGGGAGGGGACCCCAGAGGCCUUAAGAAACACAAAGUUCUAAAUAUGCCAAAAAGAACUGCCCUGUGGUUAGUUCCUUUUGGGAGGUGUCAGCUGAAAAAAAUACAUCCUACCCCUGUUUUAAAUUUAUCAUUGUUUUAGGUUCCCGAUGUUGCUGUGACCAAAACCCUGACUAUGAGCAACUUAAGUGAAGAAAGGUUUUGUCUUUCACUUCCAGGUCAGAGUUCAUCAUUGAGAUCCAUCAAGAUGGGAAUUCAAGGAAGCUCUGCUUGUUAUUCCACAGAGCAGUGCUACCACCCAAGGAACCCACUUCAUAGCCAGGAAGUACAUCACACUUGCGUACCGUGUGGAAGCGUCACCUGUCAAUUAAAAGCUGAUUGGCCCAUUAGCUGAGACAAGAAGUAGAAGGCAGAACAUCCGGCAGAAAGUUGGAAUUCUGGGAAAGAGUCAACCCUGAAGUUUGAGGAAGUUGGGUGCAUGAAGCUAAGGAGAGCUUGCAGAUAAACAUGUGAUCCAACUUGCAGAUCAGCGUGUGAUCUUUUAGCCACCACUCCAGCACCAUGACUGCAUGCCUGCUGCCAUGCUUCUCGCCAUGAUGAUCGUGGACUCUAACCUUUCAGAACCAUGACUCCAACAAACAUUUUUAACCAACAAGAGUCGACCACUCUAGAUGAUGACAACCACAGCACAUCAGAUGACUGAAAACAUCUAUCCCAUAAUUUGGGGGAACAGGGGAGUUGUGUUCUGAAAAUUACUUGUCUGGAGACAAAGUUCAGGAUGUGAGAUAUCAACCUCCAGCCUCUUGCAGCCAUAUCUGCUACUUACUGUUAUUGCUCCUGCCCUGAUAGAGGUUCCCUCUGGAAUCAUGAGAUCAAAUGAACUCUUUAUUCUGGUCAACUUAGAGAAAAAGAAUGGUCAACUCUCUAGCAAUGAGCAGCAGCAUCUUAUAGGAUGCUAAUAGCAUCAUCCACAAGGUAAACCAGAGACUGGAGAGAUGUGCAUGGACUGGCUAAUACAUGACAUCAACAUAGGAAUACUGUUACACUAGAAGGGAAGCAAGUGAUUGGGACUACUGGAGUUACUUCACAAAGCAAGGGACAAAGUUAAAAGGCUUCGAUUUACCACAGUGACUGUGGACUUCACCAAAGUAUGAUGUAAAUUAUUAAGCCUCCAAAUAUCCAUAGUAACUGCACUUGGAAGCUAUGGGAGUGAAUAUGUACAUCAAACCAUUUCAGCUCCUGACCGAGAUGCUGCUAAAUGGCUAAAUAAAUGCAGAGUUGUCUGAAACUGUGGCUUGAGUCUUAUACCCCAAAGACAUAACAAUAAAAUGGCAUUUUUAUUUUAUGCUUCG